CAGGCAUUUCUGGAGACGACUUCAUUUUAGACAUCGGGAAGGACCCCCUGCAUGUGCAUCAAGGUUUAUAAAAUUCACAAGACCUGUACUGUGGAAUGCUGCUUCCCCUUACCUAGCACAGAAUGUCUGCUCUGCAGGAACUACUACAUGAAACCCUUCCACUCUUGUGAAGGCAUUGCCCAGCCGAGUCCAUGUGAAGAGGCAGGAGCCAGCACUAACCCUAGGAGGAUCUACCCCAGCACACGACUACAACCCAGGAGAGUGUCCACUCCGAGGGAUUAACUACACGAAACCCUUCCACUGCAAGACGGUGCUCGUGAAGGCAUUGCCCAGCCGAGUCCAUGUGAAGAGGCCGGAGCCAGCACUAACCCUGGGAGGAUCUACCCCAGCACACGACCACAACCCAGGAGAGUGUCCACUCCGAGGGAUUAACUACACGAAACCCUUCCACUGCAAGACGGUGCUCGUGAAGGCAUUGCCCAGCCGAGUCCGUGUGAAGAGGCAGGAGCCAGCACUAACCCUGGGAGGAUCUACCCCAGCACACGACCACAACCCAGGAGAGUGUCCGCCCCGAGGGAUUAACUACACGAAACCCUUCCACUGCAAGACGGUGCUCGUGAAGGCAUUGCCCAGCCGAGUCCGUGUGAAGAGGCAGGAGUCCCUGUGAGAAAGACGGGACUCCGGGAGCCCAGAAGUAGGUCAGUUCAGGGGAUGUUGAUCCCAACCAAGUAUAGAGAGGGUUACCGUAGUGUAGCAGAUUCCUGGAGCAAGACGUUUCUUUUAAUGAGACUAGCGCUCACCAUUUGGGUGGCAAACUUUUAUUUGUAGCUUUGUUUUCAUUAUUAAAUGUGACAUGAUUGCUGGUAUCUUAGUGUCAGCUCUUGUGUGUAAUUAAAUCUGCGAGCCUGUGCAGCAUGUUUCAGUAACCUGUGUAUCUUUAAAUAAAAAAAAAAAACAUGUUCCUCCCAGUUUUCAUGUGUCAUUUUUAUUUGAUAUUAUAAAAUGACCCCUGCAUGCAUUUAG